UGACUUGCCUUCCACCCCAG
rnacentral:miRNA from 1 species